rnacentral:rRNA from 1 species
UACGUAGGGUGCGAGCGUUAAUCGGAAUUACUGGGCGUAAAGCGUGCGCAGGCGGCGCGUUAAGACAGGUGUGAAAGCCCCGAGCUUAACUUGGGAAUUGCGCUUGUGACUGGCGUGCUGGAGUGUGGCAGAGGGAGGUGGAAUUCCACGUGUAGCAGUGAAAUGCGUAGAGAUGUGGAGGAACACCGAUGGCGAAGGCAGCCCCCUGGGUUAACACUGACGCUCAGGCACGAAAGCGUGGGGAGCAAACAGG